CAGUCGCCACGGUAAUACGGAGGGUGCAAGCGUUAUCCGGAUUUAUUGGGUUUAAAGGGUCCGUAGGCGGAUCUGUAAGUCAGUGGUGAAAUCUCACAGCUUAACUGUGAAACUGCCAUUGAUACUGCAGGUCUUGAGUAAAUUUGAAGUGGCUGGAAUAAGUAGUGUAGCGGUGAAAUGCAUAGAUAUUACUUAGAACACCAAUUGCGAAGGCAGGUCACUAAGAUUUAACUGACGCUGAUGGACGAAAGCGUGGGGAGCGAACAGGAUUAGAUACCCGAGUAGUCCCUGUCUCUUAUAC
rnacentral:rRNA from 1 species